rnacentral:rRNA from 1 species
AGAGUUUGAUCCUGGCUCAGAACGAACGCUGGCGGCAGGCUUAACACAUGCAAGUCGAGCGCCCCGCAAGGGGAGCGGCAGACGGGUGAGUAACGCGUGGGAAUCUACCCUUUGCUACGGAAUAACGCAUGGAAACGUGUGCUAAUACCGUAUGUGUCCUUCGGGAGAAAGAUUUAUCGGCAAAGGAUGAGCCCGCGUUGGAUUAGCUAGUUGGUGGGGUAAAGGCCUACCAAGGCGACGAUCCAUAGCUGGUCUGAGAGGAUGAUCAGCCACAUUGGGACUGAGACACGGCCCAAACUCCUACGGGAGGCAGCAGUGGGGAAUAUUGGGCAAUGGGCGCAAGCCUGAUCCAGCCAUGCCGCGUGAGUGAUGAAGGCCUUAGGGUUGUAAAGCUCUUUCACCGGAGAAGAUAAUGACGGUAUCCGGAGAAGAAGCCCCGGCUAACUUCGUGCCAGCAGCCGCGGUAAUACGAAGGGGGCUAGCGUUGUUCGGAUUUACUGGGCGUAAAGCGCACGUAGGCGGAUCGAUCAGUCAGGGGGUGAAAUCCCAGAGCUCAACUCUGGAACUGNCUUUGAUACUGUCGAUCUGGAGUAUGGAAGAGGUGAGUGGAAUUCCGAGUGUAGAGGUGAAAUUCGUAGAUAUUCGGAGGAACACCAGUGGCGAAGGCGGCUC